rnacentral:rRNA from 1 species
AAAGGUGGGGGACCUUCGGGCCUCACGCGAUGAGAUGAGCCGAUGCCGGAUUAGCUAGUUGGCGGGGUAAAGGCCCACCAAGGCGACGAUCCGUAGCUGGUCUGAGAGGAUGAUCAGCCACACUGGAACUGAGACACGGUCCAGACCUCCGUACGGGAGGCAGCAGGUGGGGAAUAUUGGACAAUGGGGGCAACCCUGAUCCAGCCAUGCCGCGUGUGUGAAGAAGGCCUUCGGGUUGUAAAGCACUUUUGUUGGGGAAGAAACCGGCCGGGUUAAUACCCUGGUUGAAUGACGGUACCCAAAGAAUAAGCACCGGCUAACUUCGUG